rnacentral:lncRNA from 1 species
ACCACAUAAUAUAAAAUAAAGAUGUUGUGUCCACCGAAACCUGAAAAAAAAAAAAAAAAAAGAAAAGAAAAAACAAAGAUCACUUUCCCUUAGGCCAAGAUGGAAUUGGGGGCAAGGUUUCUAGCCUACUCUUGUCCAGAGCAAAUCCCCAGGGACUGAUAUGGGUUCAGCAUGGAUGAUGAGAUUUUGGAUGACCCUUGUUUUCUCUGUUUCUUCCUCAAAUAUUUACUGAGUACUGAACUAGGUGGUCCCUGGGGAGGUCAAUGGGAACAAGGCAGGGUCUCUUCUGUAAGAAUGGAGGAAUUGAGAAAUAUGCUAGAGGCACUGCAACAGUACCAAAGCCUGGCCCCAAGAUGCACAGCUCUCUGGGCCUUGCAUGGAGCCCUUCUCAACAUGGAUGUCCACUCUCCCCUGUGUGGUUUUCUCCACUUGUCAGUGAUGUUCCUGUGACUGGAACCAAAAGCCGGCCAUGGACUUUCGGCUCUUCUUUGGGUCCCUUUUACCCUUCUAUAUGCCCAUCUGUGAACCUUGCUUCUAAGGCCCGAAUCAAAAUUUUCAUCAGAGAACUGCCCCUAGCCUCUGUAGUCACUUUUCCCAGAGAAGGAACAAAGAGCCAGAAGGGCUGGGACUUUAUUCCCCCCCUCUGCCCACCUACCUUCAGGCAUUAGCCAAUACUGGAUGUAGACUGGGGGCAGGGCCUGCUGGUAAAAUGUGGCCUCACAUUCAAAAUCAAAAGCAAUGACUAGGGGUGUAGUUCAGUGGUAGGAGGCAUGAGUGAGGCUCUGGGUUUGAUCCCCAGCUCCCAGCAAAACACACGCACAAACAUCAAAAAUACACCUACCAGACGCUUUAUGGCUGAAUUCUAGAUUCUUAAGCACCUGACACACAGGCCAAAGUAGAGAAGGACCUGUCUCAAAGAUAUUUGUGGAUGCGGCUUUUGCAUAAUAGAGUGCAUCAUAAUUUGAUACACAGAAAACCUACACAACUGUACCAGCUUGGAAAAGAAAGGAUAGGGACAGUUCCAGAGUGAAAAGUCUUGUUGGCCCUCAAUCUUUUGAGGACAGGAAGCAGAUUGAGAAAAUUACUCAUGGCCAAUAUGAGCCAUUUCUUGUAGGAAAGGAUGACUUUAAGGGCAGAAGCAAGAGCUCCUCAGAAAAAUGGAGAAACUUGAUGUUUUAGUUGACCUUUUUGCUGCCAUGAUCAAAAGACCUGAUAAGAACUAUUUUAGAGGAGGAAAAGUGUAUUUGGGAGCUCACGGUUUAGAGGUGUCAGUCCAUAGAAGGCAGGUUCUAUUCCUUGGGGCUCGAGGUGAGGCAGAACAUCAUGGCAGAAGGGUGUGGCAGAGGAAAGAGGCUCAGGACAUCACAUCAUGAAAUAUAAAGCAAGCUCCACUCUUCAGGGACAAAAUAUAGACCUCAAAGGCACACCCUCGAAUCCCACCUUCCCCAGACACACCCCACCUGCCUUUAGUUAUCACCCAGUUAAUUCCAUCAGGGGAUUGGGAUAAGGCUCUCAUAACCCUAUUGUUUCACCUCUAAAUCUUCUUGCAUUGUCUCACACAGGAGCUUUUGGGGGACACUACAUAUCUGAACCACAACACCUCGAUAAAUGUUUGACAUUGAGGUUAUUCUCUUGGAAGUGACCAGGACACUCGAAGUAAGCUCAGCCUAGACUACCAAAUGAUGAGAGCCACACAGAGCAUACUCUGAAGGAAAAGCACCCAUCAUGGAUAUUCUCAUCCCUGCUUAGUUGCCUGCUGAAUGCAGCCACAGGAGUGACUUGUGCUGCAUGGGCCAUGCAGAGCAGAAAAACUACCAAGCUGAGCCCCAUCAACUCACAGAAUCAUGAAACAUAAAUCAUUGUUUUUUUAGCUACUAAGUUUCCAGGUGGAUGCCACAGUACACAAAACAUUUCUCUCUUCUUUUACUCAGUCUUUUGAUAGCACUUAAUGUAGUUGACCAUCCCUUCUUAAUUUAGAUAUUUGGCUGGGUGCAGAGUUGCACCCUUGUAAUACCAGCUACUGGGGAGACUUGGGCAGGAGCAUUGCAAGUUCUAGGCUAGCCUGGGUGAUUUAGUGAGAACCUGUCUCAAAAUAGAAAGGGCUGGGGGUGUAGCUCAGUGGUAGAGCAUGCCUGGGGAUUUAACCCACAGUAUCACAAAAAAUAAUGAUUUUAGAAAGAUCUUUGGCUUUUCCAGGACCAGAUGGAUUCUCAACUGAGUUCUACCAGAUCUUUAUUUAUUUAUUUUUUUAUUAGUUGUUCAAAACAUUACAAAGUUCUUUAAAGAAAACUAAUACCAAUCAUUCACAAAAACCAUGAAACAGAAAAGGAGGGAGCACUGCUAAACUCAUUCUACGAAGCCAGUUAUCAAAAUACCAGACAAAGAAACAUCAAGGCAAGAAAACUUCAGACCAAUAUCCUUGAUGAACAUAGAUGAAAGAAAAAUCUUAAUAAAAUAUUGGCAAACCUCAUACAAAAACAUUAAAAGGUAGUGGGUUUCAUUCCAGGGAUACAGGGUUGGUUCAGUAUACAGAAAUCAAUAAAUGUAACUAACUCACCACAUAAAUAGACUUAAGGACAUGAAUCACCUGAUUAUCUCAAUAGAUGCAGUAAAGGCAUUUGACAAAGUACAGCAUCCAUUCAUGUUUAAAACACUAGAUAACUAGGGAUAGAAGGAACUUACCUCAAUGUUGUAAAGGCUAUAUAUGACAAACCCAAGGCAACCUUAUACUGAAUAUAGAAAAACUGAAAGCAUUUCCUAAAAAAAACAGGAACAAGACAGGGAUGCCCACUUUCACCACUCCUAUUCAACAUAGUCUUUGAAACUCUGGCCAGAGCCAUCAUACAAGAGAAGGAAAUUAAAGGGAUAAAAAUAGGAAAAGAAGACCUCAAUUUAUUUCUAUUUGCGG